CAAAAAGAAGGGAACGGUUGCUGAUGAUGUAGUUUGAAACUCUCACAAUUUAUAUCACAGUGGCUGUUCUUUUUUGUUUG
ensembl:ncRNA mir-6-3 mir-6-3 stem loop